rnacentral:misc_RNA from 1 species
GAUGAAGAACGUAGCGAAAUGCGAUACGUAAUGUGAAUUGCAGAAUUCAGUGAAUCAUCGAAUCUUUGAACGCAUAUUGCGCUCUCUGGUAUUCCGGAGAGCAUGCUUGUUUGAGUAUCAGUAAACACCUCAACUCCCUUUUCUUUUUUGAAAUUGGAGCUGGACUUGAGUGAUCCCAACGCUUUCUUCCAAGAAAGUGGCGGGUUGCUUGAAAUGCAGGUGCAGCUGAACUUUUCUCUGAGCUAUAAGCAUAUCUAUUUAGUCUGCCUAAAAACAGAUUAUUACCUUUGCUGCAGCUAACAUAAAGGAGACUAGUUCUUGUGCUGACUGAUGCAGGAUUCACAGAGACAGCUUCGGCUGACUUUGUAAACUCGAUCUCAAAUCAAGUAAGACUACCCGCUGAACUUAAGCAUAUCAAUAAGCGGAGGA